rnacentral:SRP_RNA from 1 species
UCGUGCUAGACGGGGAGCUAGCGGUGCCCUGUAGCCCGGAAUCCGCUAUACCGGGGUCGAAUGCCUGCCCGAGGUUUCGGGUUUUUCGGAUUUGGUCUUUGGCAAGCGAUGUUGAUGGUCAGGUCCUGCGCAACUUCAAUGCUGCCCAAUCCCGUCAGGACCGGAAGGUAGCAGCGGUAAGCGGUUAUUGGGUGUGAUGCGGGUCAGCCUGGCAGGAGUUGGCUACCUCAGGCCCUCCGCAAGGCAGGAAUCGAGGGUGGGUGCACGA